UAAAAGAGGGGACAGUCUUACAGUAUGCAG
rnacentral:piRNA from 1 species